AGAGUUUGAUCAUGGCUCAGGAUGAACGCUGGCGGCGUGCUUGAUACAUGCAAGUCGAACGGAGAGUGUAGCAAUAUACUUUUAGUGGCGAACGGGUGAGUAACGCGUUGGUGACCUGCCCCGAAGCGAGGGAUAACAGUUCGAAAGAACUGCUAAUACCUCAUGUGAUCACCGGUUUUAGAAUCUGGUGAUUAAAGGUGAAAAUCACUUCGGGAGGGGCCUGCGUCCCAUCAGCUAGUUGGUAAGGUAAUGGCUUACCAAGGCGAUGACGGGUAGGGGACCUGAGAGGGUGGCCCCCCACAAUGGAACUGAAACACGGUCCAUACACCUACGGGUGGCAGCAGUAGGGAAUAUUGCAAAUGGGCGAAUGCCUGAUGUAGCAACGCCGCGUGUGCGAUGAAGGUCUUCGGAUUGUAAAGCACUUUUUGGAGGGAUGAGGAAGGACAGUACCUCCAGAAUAAGCCUCGGCUAACUACGUGCCAGCAGCCGCGGUAACACGUAGGAGGCAAGCGUUAUUCGGAUUUACUGGGCGUAAAGCGCGUGCAGGCGGUUUGGAAAGUUGGAUGUGAAAGCUCCUGGCUCAACUGGGAGAGGUCGUUCAAAACUUCCAGACUUGAGAGUGGGUAGAGGGAGGUGGAAUUCCGGGGU
rnacentral:rRNA from 1 species